UCUCUGGCAUUCCAUUUUCCAUUAGUUUUUGAAGAAUGCGUAUGAGUUUGCUUUUCUUUCAAAGUGCACAAUUUAUUUCGGUUCACUGACUUCCCAUUUUGAUGGCUAAUAUUCAUGGUUGAAUCAUUAUUUUUCUUUAGAUUUUCAAAGACGACUCUUCAUCUUCUCUUGAAAAUGAAGGAUCAGAAUGAUCAACGGAAAGAGGGCAGUUGAAAGAAUAACAAUUCACUUUCAUUUCCUCUGAUUUCUGAAUUUAUCAUUCUAAUCAUCCUCGAUGCCAUUACAAGCUUCUCCUACAGAGCCUCUUUUUUUUUAAAGACAAAUAUUUGUGUCCCGAUUUUUGUUUUCAAUGGAAUUUGCGGCUACUUCUGAGAGGGGUCGGUUCGGAGCUUUGACUCAAAUGCAGCUAUAUGUGCAAGAAUAGACAAUGAUGUACAAGUUAACAAGGAUGCCACCAUCGAAACAAAUCAUGUGCGGCAUCAUUUGAGGCAGAUUGCAGAGGAAUAUCGUGGCAAAUAGACGUGUUGCUACAAAUUAAAGCAUGGUGAAGAUGGAACAACUGAAAACAUCUUUAACUUGCCUUGAUUACUAUGUUUUAAUUAUCUGUAGGAGAUGUUCCAAUGUGUCAAGAGUGUCGAUGUUGCACAUCAAACUGCCUUCUCAAGGACAACCAAGUCUGCCAAGUCUAGCCAUUGGUUGAAAGACUAAAAUUAGUUGGUCACUUGUUUUGUGAAUUUCUCAACAAAAAGAUGAUAAGAAGGCCGUAAACAAGAUCCCUGUGUAUGGUUAUGACAUUGUCAUCUUUAGAAUUGAAUGGACUGUUUCCAAAUCAUCAUUUGUUCUUUUUCUUGCUUAAACUUGCUUUGAAAACCCGAUGAUUUUCCUUUUGCUUCGUGUCCAUGUGUAUUAUUUUUCUCUGUUAUUA